UGAGGUGAUUCACACAUUGAUAACAUCUUGGUUGAGCUCGCAUCUUUGUUGAGCUCGCAACUUUGAAUGAGCUCGCAAGUUUGGAUGGGCUCGCAGCUUUGCGACCUGAGUUCGCCAUUAAAUGAAUGGCCACUUCGUAACAAAAGGAUCAAAGGUACACUUAUCAAAACCUUAUAUUUUACCUUUAAACCUUAGAUUUGCUUUUCUUGAAGGCCAAGAUCAUUAGAUUUGCUUGAUAAUGAACGCUUUGAAUUCAUAUUUUAGAAGGAGAUUUUUGUGGAUAAAUACUUCAAUUUAAAAUGGUAUUUUAUCCCCCAAAUGUUACUUGGGGAAGUUGCCUUAUUUUGCCUAUAAAUAGGCAGUGCCGAUGCACAUUGGAUACAUCUUUUGGGAGUGUAUUUACUUGAGCUACUACCAUCUUCUUUGCUUGUAUUUGCUUUGUUUAUUUCACUCUUUAUAUAGGCUUUCUUAGUGGGUGAGUAAUUGUAACUAUUGGGCAUAUUUGUUGGGGUUACAAUUGCUUCUUGUUGCAACUAUUGGGCAUAUUUGUUGGGGUUACAAUUACUUGUUAUUGUAGCGGUAGAUUAGGCUUUAGCCAAUAAAUUUUUGAAUUUAUUAUUAAAUAAAUCGUUCAUUGAUAAAACUAUGUAGAUUAAAAUUUUUAUCCGAGCCGUGUCAAAAAAAUCAUGUGUGUGAAUCUCUCUUUAAAAACUGUUGUUAAGCUAUCUUAUUCCAAACUAUGUUAGAACAUUAGUUGACACAUCGAAUUGGGAUAGGGAGCAAACUGACUUCUUUUUCAACUCCUCCUUGAUGGCGGUUCUGUUGGUUGUAGGUAUGACGGCCUGCCAUUGUUGGCUUCUUCGAUCACUCUCCUUCCUCCCUUGUUGCAUGCCGUAGCCACCAAAAGUUGUGGUGGCUAGGGUUUGUUUCUUUGGGAUUGAGUUGGACCUUGAUUGCCCAAGUACUCAUUGUUUGAAUUAUUUUGGACUUUUGAGCCUCCUUAUUCAGUUGCUAAAAAAAUUGCAAAUUAGUCCACUUUAAUUUCUUGAAUUUUAUAAUCAUAUUUGUAAAAUAUAUUUCAUAGGUCAAAGAUGGUGUUCUAUACCGAACUAAACUUUAGUAUAAGAGAUUUAGAAUCUUCUCUAGAACCACGACAUUCUCUCAACUCUACG
rnacentral:lncRNA from 1 species